rfam:Caldivirga sp. CIS_19 scf1118685653466, whole genome shotgun sequence.
GGGCCGGUAGUCUAGCCUGGAAGGACGCCCGCCUUGCGAUGCCUAGGCACUGGAUCGCGGGAGAUCCCGGGUUCAAAUCCCGGCCGGUCCA